AUGCAAGAAAAACGAGCCAUUGCUUAUUUUAGUGAAAAACUCUCCGGUGCUCAACUUAACUAUCCCGUAUAUGACAAAGAAUUGUAUGCUUUAGUGCGUGUCCUACAUGUUUGGGAACAUUAUCUUAGACCUCAUGAAUUUGUCAUCCAUACCGAUCAUGAAACGCUUAAGUACUUAAAAGGUCAAACUAAAUUGAACAAGCGUCAUGCAAAAUGGAGUGAAUUUAUUGAAUCUUUCCCAUAUGUGAUUAAGUACAUUAAGGGUAAGGAAAAUGUAGUUGCCGAUGCACUUUCUCGCAUAUGCACGCUUGUCACCCAACUUGAGUUGAAUGUUAUUUGCUUUGAGCACAUAAAAGAUUUGUAUGCUAAUGAUCCAUCUUUUGCAUCUCAGUAUGCUAAAUGUUUGACGCAUACAUCUAGGGAACAAUAUUACCUCAAGGAUGGUUAUCUUAUGAGAGCUAACAAACUAUGCAUUCCCGAGUCUUCUCUUCGUUUGCUCCUUUUGCAAGAGGCUCAUGGAGGCGGACUCAUGGGACAUUUUGGACGUGACAAGACCUUCGCCACGCUCUCCAAGAACUACUUUUGUCCCAAGAUGUUUCGAGACGUCUCACGCUUCACCACCCGAUGCUCUACAUGCCGCAAAGCUAAGUCAAAAGCUCAAUCUCAUGGUCUUUACAUGCCUCUUCCUAUUCCUUAUCAACCUUGGGAAGACAUUAGCAUGGAUUUUGUACUUGGUUUGCCUAGAACUCAAAAUGGAAAGGAUUCCGUGUUUGUUGUUGUGGACCGAUUUUCUAAGAUGGCACAUUUCAUUCCUUGCAACAAGGUAGACGAUGCUUCACAUAUUGCAAAUCUCUUUUGCAGGGAAAUCUUGCGCCUCCAUGGAGUACCAAAGACAAUCAUCUCCGACCGCGACGUCAAGUUCUUGAGUUACUUUUGGAAGACUCUAUGCGCCAAGCUCGGAAUCAAGCUCUUGUUCUCAUCCGCAUACCAUCCUCAAACCGACGGCCAAACGGAGGUGACGAACCGAACACUAUCCACUCUACUUCGUGUGUUGAUCAAAAAGAACAUCAAGGAGUGGGAGGCGUGUCUACCCAUCACCGAGUACACUUACAACCGUGCAAGACAUUCGACCACCGGCAAGUCCCCCUUCAAGGUCGUCUACGGCUUCAACCCGUUGUCACCAUUGGACAUACUACCUCUUCCUCUACAAGAGCGCACCAACAUGGAUGCGAGUGCACGAGCAAGCUACAUCAAGAAGAUGCAUGAGGAUACAAGGCACACCAUCGAGCGCCAAGUACAAUGA
rnacentral:rRNA from 1 species